rnacentral:rRNA from 1 species
AUUGAACGCUGGCGGCAUGCCUUACACAUGCAAGUCGAACGGUAACGGGCCUUCGGGUGCCGACGAGUGGCGAACGGGUGAGUAAUGCAUCGGGACGUACCUUUCAGUGGGGGAUAACGUAGCGAAAGUUACGCUAAUACCGCAUAUUCUGUGAGCAGGAAAGCAGGGGAUCGCAAGACCUUGCGCUGAUUGAGCGGCCGAUGUCAGAUUAGCUAGUUGGUGAGGUAAAGGCUCACCAAGGCGACGAUCUGUAGCGGGUCUGAGAGGAUGAUUCGCCACACUGGAACUGAGCAACGGUCCAGACUCCUACGGGAGGCAGCAGUGGGGAAUUUUGGACAAUGGGGGCAACCCUGAUCCAGCCAUGCCGCGUGAGUGAAGAAGGCCUUCGGGUUGUAAAGCUCUUUCGGCCGGGAAGAAAUCGUAUGGGUUAAUACCCUGUGCGGAUGACGGUACCGGCAUAAGAAGCACCGGCUAACUACGUGCCAGCCGCCGCAGUAA